CAGCUAAGUACUCAAUUGGUUUGUUCAUUUCCUGUUAAGUGCCGACAAUGAAUAAUGAAAUAAGCAUGUAGAAGACUUAUGGUAAAUAUGUUUGGACAGGAGUUCGACUCUCCUCAGGUCCACUU
rnacentral:tmRNA from 1 species